UACGUAGGGUGCAAGCGUUAAUCGGAAUUACUGGGCGUAAAGCGUGCGCAGGCGGUUAUGUAAGACAGUUGUGAAAUCCCCCGGGCUCAACCUGGGAACUGCAUCUGUGACUGCAUAGCUAGAGUACGGUAGAGGGGGGAUGGAAUUCCGCGUGUAGCAGUGAAAUGCGUAGAUAUGCGGAGGAACACCGAUGGCGAAGGCAAUCCCCCUGGACCUGUACUGACGCUCAUGCACGAAAGCGUGGGGAGCAAACAGG
rnacentral:rRNA from 1 species